UACGAAGGGGGCUAGCGUUACUCGGAUUGACUGGGCGUAAAGGGCGCGUAGGCGGCUUGUACAGUCAGACGUGAAAUUCCUGGGCUCAACCUGGGGGCUGCGUUUGAUACGUGCGGGCUUGAGUUCGGAAGAGGGUCGUGGAAUUCCCAGUGUAGAGGUGAAAAUCGUAGAUAUUGGGAAGAACACCGGUGGCGAAGGCGGCGACCU
rnacentral:rRNA from 1 species